AUUUCCAAAUCUUAAUUAAACUAUCAAACCGAAGUCGAAUAGGACAUGGACCUUAGAUAUUUGAAAUGCAAAAUUAGACGAAGAUCAAGAGGAAUAAAAGCCCCUCGUGUUAGGGCUUCAAUUCCUUACACUAACCACUACAUGAUGGAAACGAAUUCAAGGCGAAUCAUUGAAUGAAGCCUACCUACAGAAUGGAGAAGUGUUCCAGAAUUUGUUGAAAUUGAAAACGAUGAUGUUGAAUAAGAAUACCAGAGCUUCUUCAGGAUGAAGAUAGAUGAUGGAACAAUGCAAGGAUGACUUAUUAUUGAAUAAAUAAAUGGGAAUUAGGGUUUAGGAUAAAAAAAUGAUGAGUUGACUUUGGUCAACUGGUUGACCAAAAAGUCAACAUUUGAUUGAAAGUCAACUUAUGCAAAAAAAAAAUGUAAUUCUUGUAAUCUUUUCAAUGUAAUGUACUAUGGAUAAUGCAAAAUGAACUUUAUGAAUGAAAUGUAUUACUUAGUGAAAAA